CCGGUUGAUCCUGCCGGAGGCUACCGCUAUUGGAGUUCGAUUAAGCCAUGCGAGUCGCGAGUCUUAGGGACUCGGCGUACCGCUCAGUAACACGUGGGUAACCUGCCCUAUGCUGGGGGAUAACCUCGGGAAACUGAGAAUAAUACCCCAUAGUUCACCACGCCUGGAACGGUGGGUGGACCAAAGCUCCGGCGGCAUAGGAUGGGCCUGCGGCGUAUCAGGUUGUAGGGGGUGUAAUGUACCCUCUAGCCCUCUACGCGUACGGGUGUUGAGAGACAUCGCCCGGAGAUGGAUUCUGAGACACGAAUCCAGACCCUACGGGGUGCAGCAGGCGCGAAAACUUGGCAAUGCGAGAAAUCGUGACCAGGGAACUCCAAGUGCAUCGGGUAAGACCGAUGCUUUUCUUGACUCUUCAAAGGUCUUGGAAUAAGGGGUGGGUAAGGACGGUGCCAGCCGCCGCGGUAAUACCGGCGCCCCAAGUGGUAGUCGCUUUUAUUGGGCCUAAAACGUCCGUAGCCGGUCUGGUACAUUCGUGGGUAAAUCAACCAGCUCAACUGGUUGAAUUCUGCGAGCACGGCCAGACUUGGGACCGGGAGAGGUGUGGGGUACCCUCAGGGUAGGGGUAAAAUCCUGUCAUCCUGAGAGGACCACCUGUUGCGAAGGCGCCACACUAGAACGGAUCCGACGGUCAGGGACGAAGCCUAGGGGCACGAACCGGAUUAGAUACCCGGGUAGUCCUAGGUGUAAACGCUGUGGACUUGAUGUUGGGGGCGCUCCGAGCGCACUCAGUGUCGAAGCGAAGGUGAUAAGUCCACUGCCUGGGGAGUACGGUCGCAAGGCUGAAACUUAAAGGAAUUGGCGGGGGAGCACCGCAACCUGAGGAUUGUGCG
rnacentral:rRNA from 1 species